rnacentral:rRNA from 1 species
GACGAACGCUGGCGGCGUGCCUAAUACAUGCAAGUAGGACGCACAGUUUAUACCGUAGCUUGCUACACCAUAGACUGUGAGUUGCGAACGGGUGAGUAACGCGUAGGUAACCUGCCUAUUAGAGGGGGAUAACUAUUGGAAACGAUAGCUAAUACCGCAUAACAGUAUGUAACACAUGUUAGAUGCUUGAAAGAUGCAAUUGCAUCGCUAGUAGAUGGACCUGCGUUGUAUUAGCUAGUAGGUAGGGUAAUGGCCUACCUAGGCGACGAUACAUAACCGACCUGAGAGGGUGAUCGGCCACACUGGGACUGAGACACGGCCCAGACUCCUACGGGAGGCAGCAGUAGGGAAUCUUCGGCAAUGGGGGGAACCCUGACCGAGCAACGCCGCGUGAGUGAAGAAGGUUUUCGGAUCGUAAAGCUCUGUUGUUAAGGAAGAACGAGUGUGAGAAUGGAAAAGUUCAUAACUGUGACGGUAAC